AACGAACGCUGGCGGCAGGCCUAACACAUGUAAGUCGAACGCGUCGCAAGAUGAGUGGCGCACGGGUGAGUAACGCGUGGGAAUGUAUCCUUUGGUUCGGAAUAACGUCUGGAAACGGACGCUAAUACCGGAUGAGCCCUUAGGGGGAAAGAUUUAUCGCCGAAGGAGCAGCCCGCGUCUGAUUAGGUAGUUGGUGGGGUAAAGGCCUACCAAGCCGACGAUCAGUAGCUGGUCUGAGAGGAUGAUCAGCCACACUGGGACUGAGACACGGCCCAGACUCCUACGGGAGGCAGCAGUGGGGAAUAUUGGACAAUGGGCGCAAGCCUGAUCCAGCCAUGCCGCGUGAGUGAUGAAGGCCUUCGGGUUGUAAAGCUCUUUCGCACACGACGAUGAUGACGGUAGUGUGAGAAGAAGCCCCGGCUAACUUCGUGCCAGCCGCCGCCGUAAUAC
rnacentral:rRNA from 1 species